rnacentral:rRNA from 1 species
AUUGAACGCUGGCGGCAGGCUUAACACAUGCAAGUCGAGCGGGGUGAUGGUGCUUGCACUAUCACUUAGCGGCGGACGGGUGAGUAAUGCUUAGGAAUCUGCCUAUUAGUGGGGGACAACAUCUCGAAAGGGAUGCUAAUACCGCAUACGUCCUACGGGAGAAAGCGGGGGCUCUUCGGACCUCGCGCUAACAGAUGAGCCUAGGUCGGAUUAGCUAGUUGGUGGGGUAAUGGCCCACCAAGGCGACGAUCCGUAACUGGUCUGAGAGGAUGAUCAGUCACACUGGAACUGAGAAACGGUCCAGACUCCUACGGGAGGCAGCAGUGGGGAAUAUUGGACAAUGGGCGAAAGCCUGAUCCAGCCAUGCCGCGUGUGUGAAGAAGGUCUUCGGAUUGUAAAGCACUUUAAGUCGGGAGGAAGGGCUGUAGGCUAAUACCUUGCAGUUUUGACGUUACCGACAGAAUAAGCACCGGCUAACUUCGUGCCAGCCGCCGCAGUAA